GGAAACGCCGUCGGUUCUUCUCGGCUGGAAACUUCCGUCCCCGAACUCAGUUCGUGAGUAGCUUCUUCUUCUUCCGGUCGCUCUGUCAAUGGCAUCCCGACCAGAAAUACAGGCGCCGCCCGAGAUACUCUACACCGACGUCGACGCUCGCAAGUACAUUCACGGUUGUGUCGGCUGUCGGAGAGAGCUUUGGAGCUUCUUGCUUCGCCGGACGGCGGAGUUCCGUGAUUGCUCCCUGACACCGGUUGAUGAGACGGUGGGAGAACUUAUCUGGAGUGCGAUUGCGAUGUCUUUGACCCGAAUACACGAUGUUUUAUGACUGAUGAUUGGAACUCCUAUUGGGCAGUAUUGAAGAAUGUCUCCUGUACAUUGGGUAAGCUUUUGGUGGGGGAGACGGCUAUCGGAAAAUGGACACGUCUGGAUUGGUUUGGACAUUUCGCCGUCAAUGCUUGACUUCGCAUUGGAGAGAGAGGCAGAAGGCUUUGGGACUUAGACCUGGUGUUAUUGAUGGAGCCAUCAGUAUCUCUGUGUUCAGGUUCACUUUAUUGUGUUCAUUAUCAUUUUAAUGAUAUUACUCCAUAGGAGUUCUCUUCUUGGAUGUUAUAUGGAGCUAAUCUUCAUUUGGAGCUACAGAAUUACUACACUCACACUUAAUAGUGCAAAAAGUAGUAAGUAGCAGUUGAGCUUCUGUAUUAUUGGGUUCCUUAGUGUAAGUACCAAAAAGAGCACACUUGUUUUAGACUAUGAAACAAGAUUUUACUUUUUUCUUGUCAGGCUCAAGUAAAUGUGGCUUAAUCCAGCUGGUAUAAUUUAGAGGAUAUAUUAAGGUACUUGUGCAGUGGAUCUAAUUAAAGUUUCUCCCAAGACUAGUGUUUUUAAAAGAGGACCGAUUAUGUUAAUAUCCUUGGUAAGAUCUUAGAUAAGACUGUUCUGCAUAGUAAAGGAAGCUACAAUAUUCAUUACAUCAAGUGAUAAUUCAUUGCGCAAUUACUUGAAAUCUGUAAGCAUGUGUCAGCAAAUAAAUUUUUCUUGUAACUCUCAAGUUUUGGUGCAUCGAUCAGGGGCUGGUGUCAAUAUGAUAGAUGGUGGGCUUUAGCACCAGUGUUCAGGUUAAUUUAUAUAGUUGCAACAUGUGGAUGUAGACAUGUCUUGCAGGGUCUUUUACAUCUAGAUGUGGAAUAUCUGGAAGUAUUUAAUGACUAUUGUGUGAUGCCGGACUUAUUAUAUAGAUUUGGAAGAAUUUGAUGGUGUUACUUUGAGCAGCUAUUUGUUUAUUUCUUUGUGCUCUGAAAACUCUUUGUUUAUUCCCUAAAUAUGUAGUUUCUGGGUGAAUACUCACCGGAGUAGCCUUUUAUCUUUUUGUAUAGUGUCUGAUGAACUUGCAUUACAUCUAAGGGUGCGUUUGUUUCGCAGAAAAUGAGUGAUUUAUAAAACAUUUUCCAAAAAAUGAUUGCUUGUAUCGUUUAUAAAAAUUAGUCAACAGAAAAUAUUUUCAUCAUUGAUAACAAUCUAUGCCUAACUAUUUUCGUGAAAGAUGAAAACAUUUCUAUUCAUUUAUUUUUGUAAAAGAUAUAAGCGAUUAUUUUUUGGAAAAUAUUUUCCAAAUCAAUUAUUUUCUGUGAAACGAACACACCCUAAGAUUUGCUGGCAUUCUGCCCCCUAAAUGAUUUGCAGCUGCAUUUUGUAAAUCCUUAUUAUUCUAAGCUCUUGCUUUCCCUAGAAAUCAUUGUGUAUUUGAACCCAUGUCUGUUAACAUUGUUGAUUUGCAUCUAUCGUGUGGCCACAUGGAUAGAAUGAAACAGCUAAUAUUGCAAUCAACUCUAAAAAGUUCCCUGCAGAGAUAUAAAGAAAGUAGCUACUGUUGUGCUUCAACUGUGGUAGCUUCAACUCUCUGUCUUUCCCCCUUUAUCUGCUAGUUAGACACCAAAUGAAUGCCACAUUAGAAUGACUUGUUAUUAAGUGGAUACUCAUGGGGUAAAGUGUGCACAUGAAAUGUUUAGAACUUGAGCAUAGUUGGGUUUGAAGGACCAAAGGAAUGUAGCCUGGUGAUAAACCUUUUGUCAUUGUUGUAUCGGUUCCAUACAUUUUGUUUGUCUUCCAUCUUUAAUUUUGCAUGUUAAACAUUCUUAUUUCGUAAUCUUGCUGUACUCUCUGUAAAUUCUCUAAGUUUCUACACUGGGUAACUAGCAAUCUUUUUCGGUUUCUUUUCUGUAGUUUGUUGAUUCUAUAUCUGUUUUUCAAGCAGUGGUUAUGCAAUGCAGAUAAGUCCUCGCACGAGCCACGGUUAAGAUUGAAGUAUGUUCCUUAGUAUUGGACGAUAACUGGAUGAUUGUCCUAAACGAGAAAAAACUUUCUUCUUUUCUGCUUUUCUAUCAUGCAGAACUCCUACUCCCUAUUUGGCUGGCUUAUAAUCGAACUUCGUCUUGGUUGUUUUUAGGGCAUUUUUUGGAUUGUCGUAUAGAUGCUUAGCAAGGGGAGAAAAGAACAGUUUUUUCAAGUUUACCCAGAAAGUAUAGCCCAUCGUGAGUUGAUUUUGAGUUCUGCCUCGCAUGUUGGAUUUGCAGGUGGUGUGGUGGCUGACUACCCAUACAGGUACCUAUAUUAUUACCAAAACUUAUUUUAGUGUUCAACAUUGAUGGAACAACAUAUGCUGUGCAUAUCUUUGUAUAUAUUCUGUCUGUUGGAAGACCUCCGUUAAAGUUGAGUUUCUGAGAUCGGAAUAAGAGAGGUUUCAUUGGAGAGGAAACGCCCUUUUCUGUAAUUAUUGAAAGUUGGUUGAAAAUCUUAUACCUUUGGUAUAGAGGAAAGUCAUGUGUGGAUGGAAAUGCUUCAAAUUGACAUUGUACAUAAUUUGUCUAGUAACUGAGCUCUUUUGAUUAUGAGCUCUUUUGGUAUACGGGUUUCCACUCCCUUGGUGCCCUUCAGUAAUAUUUUCUUUUAACUAUCAAUAAAUAAAUAAAUUUCUGAGAAAUUUCCGCAAUAAUCUCAUUAGUUUAUUUCUUAAAUACGCGACAGCUUGUAUAUGAGAUUAUCAAAUGUGCGCAUAAUACAAUUUUAGCUGUCUUUGCCCAUUCUCUUACUAAUGGGUUAUUGUUGCCUAGGAUAACUGGCAAAACCGAGCUAAUAAAGUUGGUCUGUGAUUAUGUAGAGAUUCUUAUCAAUGUCAUGUCCAGAGUUGCUUGUAAUUGUCAUGACAAGUUUUCCUCUUUUUUUCAGUUUUCUUUUAAGGACGGUCUAAUGCCAAGUCCAAGCAAGAGAAGUGCCAUUUAACAAAAGAUUAUACAAAGGCUUUGGUUGCAGAAUAAGUGCUCUAGACUGUGUGGAUGAGAUAAGAAUCUUAAUGUUCUAGAUAAAGGCUGAGCGCUGCCAUAGUAAUUCGGAUAAAUGCCUUUAUGAGAAUCUUAGCAAAGAAAAAUGAACUUACCUCGAAAUCAUUGUUGAAAACAGCACCAAGAGCAGGAAGAUGGGGAGAGUCCCUCCGAUGAUAGUAGUGGUGAUGAAGACAAUCGAACAGUUAGUAUCUUGCUAGGCACUACUGGCCAAAGAAAUAACAGAAACUAAAUAGGAGAGGAGUGGGAAGAGAGUGGGUUAUGAGAAAGAAAGAACAGAUGAGGACAAAAGGGAAAGUGUGGUGCCUGUUGACACAAAGUAUACGGCUCACAAGCGCAAAGCUUGGUUUCGAUCAGUGGUGGGCAUGAGCUCGCAAGCGCAAAGCUUGGUUUUCACAAUAGAAUUUCUGCAUGCGUGGCCCCGCUUUUAGAAGCAUCACUGAUUAUGCACCGCACUAUUUAUGUUUUUCCAUAUCCAACAGUCAAAUGUAAUUUCCUCUUUCAAGUAAUUAAUGACUUAUUAGUGUUGAUGUAUGUAUAUGCAACUCCGGAGAGAGACAGGAUGGUCCUGCGAGCAUUUUGAGUGACUUGCUAUGUUAUAGUUGUUACAGGACCUACCUUCCAUGUCCUGUCUUGUCCUUC